rnacentral:lncRNA from 1 species
CCACCUAGGACUUGCACGUGAGAUCUUCAUCUCCUCUUUGUAUAGAUUGGAUCAUAGCCAGGGCACGGGCACAUGGCCGGAGUGCAUGAAGCCACCGGAGCAUAGCCGGGGACUGACACAUGGCCGGAGCGCACAGAGCUCAUGGCUGGGGCGCGCAUGAAGCCCUUACCAGCGAUACAUAUGGGGGCAUAUGUCCUUGAGUUUUGCUAUGGUACUCCCAAACAAUCGUG